rnacentral:rRNA from 1 species
UACGUAGGGGGCGAGCGUUGUCCGGAUUUAUUGGGCGUAAAGAGCUCGUAGGCGGCUUAGCAAGUCGGGUGUGAAAACUCCAGGCUCAACCUGGAGACGCCACUCGAGACUGCUAUGGCUAGAGUCCGGUAGGGGACCACGGAAGUUCCUGGUGAGCGGUGAAAUGCGCAGAUAUCAGGAGGAACACCGAUGGCGAAGGCAGGUCUCUGGGCCACUACUGACGCUGAGAAGCGAAAGCAUGGGGAGCGAACAGG